GACUCCUUCGGGUUAUAGGGUCAAGCAAUGAAGCGCACACGGUGGAUGCCUAGGCAGCCAGAGGCGAUGAAAGACGUGGUAGCCUGCGAUAAGGUUCGGUGAGGUGGCAAACGACCUGCGACCCGGACAUCUCUGAAUGGGGAAACCCACUCAUCACAAGAUGAGUAUCUUGCGCUGAAUACAUAGGCGCAAGAGGCGAACCAGGGGAACUGAAACAUCUAAGUACCCUGAGGAAAAGAAAUCAACCGAGAUUCCCCUAGUAGCGGCGAGCGAACGGGGACCAGCCCUUAAGCGUGUGACGGAUUAGACGAACAGACUGGGAAGUCUGGCCAUAGCGGGUGAUAGCCCCGUAGUCGAAAAUCUGAUCACGUGAAAUCGAGUAGGUCGGGGCACGAGAAACCUUGACUGAAGACGGGGGGACCAUCCUCCAAGGCUAAAUACUCCUGGCUGACCGAUAGUGAACCAGUACCGUGAGGGAAAGGCGAAAAGAACCCCGGAGAGGGGAGUGAAAUAGAUCCUGAAACCGUGUGCGUACAAGCAGUAGGAGCAGACUUGUUCUGUGACUGCGUACCUUUUGUAUAAUGGGUCAGCGACUUAUAUUCAGUGGCGAGGUUAACCGUAUAGGGGAGCCGUAGGGAAACCGAGUCUUAACUGGGCGACACAGUCGCUGGAUAUAGACCCGAAACCGAGCGAUCUAUCCAUGAGCAGGGUGAAGGUUGAGUAACAUCAACUGGAGGCCCGAACCAGGAUCUGUUGAAAAAGAUUUGGAUGACUUGUGGAUCGGAGUGAAAGGCUAAUCAAGCUCGGAGAUAGCUGGUUCUCCUCGAAAGCUAUUUAGGUAGCGCCUCACGUAUCACCGCCGGGGGUAGAGCACUGUUUCGGCUAGGGGGUCAUCCCGACUUACCAACCCGAGGCAAACUCCGAAUACCGGUGAGUGCCAGCGUGGGAGACACACGGCGGGUGCUAACGUCCGUCGUGAAAAGGGAAACAACCCAGACCGUCAGCUAAGGUCCCCAAAUCCUGGUUAAGUGGGAAACGAGGUGGGAAGGCUCAGACAGCUAGGAGGUUGGCUUAGAAGCAGCCAUCCUUU
rnacentral:rRNA from 1 species